rnacentral:rRNA from 1 species
UACGGAGGGUGCGAGCGUUGUCCGGAAUCACUGGGCGUAAAGGGCGCGUAGGCGGCGCGGGAAGUCAUCGGUGAAAGUUCAGGGCUCAACUCUGAAUCGGCCGGUGAUACUCUCGUGCUCGAGCACUGUAGAGGCAGGUGGAAUUCCACGUGUAGCGGUGAAAUGCGUAGAGAUGUGGAGGAACACCAGUGGCGAAGGCGACUUUCUGGUCUAUAACUGACACUGAGGCGCGAAAGCGUGGGGAGCAAACAGG